rnacentral:lncRNA from 1 species
UAAUUAGGUCUUUCAACCUUUCAGGUGAAAGACCUAUUGUAUUUGUUCUGAUUAUUAUUAUUAUUAUUAUUUUUAUUAUUUUUUUUUUUUUUCUUCCGCCUAAAUUUUUUUCUUGCGUAGUAUUGAUGUUUCAAAAGAUGUCGCUUAGAUAUUUAGAAUAUGAUGUUGUAUAGUUUAUACGCUUUAAAAAUUUACAACUGCGUAACAAAAUACUUUACGUUGUAAGAGUUAUCUCCCCAAACACUGUUUUUCUUGUGGCCACUACUCCUUCACAACCGUAAAAGAUUACGACAAAUUUAUUUUACCAAAUUGCUCGUUACAUCUUAAGUAUUAGGAUAUUCAUUUGGACCGAAGCUUUACGGAGACUCCAUAUGAGAGUUAUUCCCCUUUUUCAUUUGAAUUAAGUGAUAUGCAUGUCUAACUGGUAAACCAUAAGUGAUAGAGACCAAGGGUCUUUAGAUUUGAGGUCCUUAGUAAAAAAAAAAUGAAAAUUAGGUCAAGGUCAAAGGUCAAGGUCAUAUUCGAAAUUUUGAUUUUGGCUUAUUUUCACUCAUUUUCAUUCAUCUUAUAAAAUAUUGACAAAUUAUUUUUACAAAAUUGAUAGUUGGGAAAUGUAGUAACUUAUAAAUUUUGAUUGAAAGGGUGCGUAGACAAUAAAUGGGAGUUUUCACACCUCUUAUAUUUAGAAUUAUGUGUAAAGUGAUAUUACUCAUGAACAAUACAUAUUAAGGAACUAGUGUCUUUUGAUUUGAGAUGUUUAGUCUAUGACCUUGAAAUUGAGGUCAAGGUCAUAGGUUAAUUGGACGUUCUAGAUUUUGACCUUUGCUUUAAAUUCAUAUUUAUACAUCAUAAAGCUAUAGGAACUGACAUUUUCAACUGAAUUUUAUCAUUUUCAUAUCAAAAUAGAUCCUUAUUGGUUGAAAGACCUUCAAUUGUUCUCUGAACAAUUGGUUUUUAAUUAUAAGUAU